rnacentral:rRNA from 1 species
AUGCAAGUCGAACGGUGACGACAGGGCUUGCCUUGUCUGAUCAGUGGCGAACGGGUGAGUAACACGUGAGUAACCUGCCCCUGACUCUGGGAUAACCCCGGGAAACCGGAGCUAAUACCGGAUAUGACACGUCCUCGCAUGGGGAGCGUGUGGAAAGUUUUUCGGUCUGGGAUGGACUCGCGGCCUAUCAGCUUGUUGGUGAGGUAAUGGCUCACCAAGGCGACGACGGGUAGCCGGCCUGAGAGGGCGACCGGCCACACUGGGACUGAGACACGGCCCAGACUCCUACGGGAGGCAGCAGUGGGGAAUAUUGCACAAUGGGCGAAAGCCUGAUGCAGCGACGCCGCGUGAGGGAUGACGGCCUUCGGGUUGUAAACCUCUUUCAGCAGGGAAGAAGCGCAAGUGACGGUACCUGCAGAAGAAGCACCGGCUAACUACGUGCCAGCAGCCGCGGUAAUACGUAGGGUGCGAGCGUUGUCCGGAAUUAUUGGGCGUAAAGAGCUUGUAGGUGGUUUGUCGCGUCUGCUGUGAAAAUCCGAGGCUCAACCUCGGACUUGCAGUGGGUACGGGCAGACUAGAGUGUGGUAGGGGAGACUGGAAUUCCUGGUGUAGCGGUGGAAUGCGCAGAUAUCAGGAGGAACACCGAUGGCGAAGGCAGGUCUCUGGGCCAUUACUGACACUGAGAAGCGAAAGCAUGGGGAGCGAACAGGAUUAGAUACCCUGGUAGUCCAUGCCGUAAACGUUGGGAACUAGGUGUGGGUCUCAUUCCACGAGAUCCGUGCCGCAGCUAACGCAUU